AUGCACGCUGGCGGUAUGCUUCACCCAUGCCAGUCGAACGGACUCUUCGGAGUUAGUGGCGGACGGGUGAGUAACGCGUGAGAAUCUGGCUUUGGGUUCGGGACAACCACUGGAAACGGUGGCUAAUACCGGAUGUGCCGAGAGGUAAAAGAGAAAUUGCCUGAAGAUGAGCUCGCGUCUGAUUAGCUAGUUGGUGAGGUAAAGGCUCACCAAGGCAGCGAUCAGUAGCUGGUCUGAGAGGAUGACCAGCCACUCUGGGACUGAGACACGGCCCAGACUCCUACGGGAGGCAGCAGUGGGGAAUUUUCCGCAAGGGGCGAAAGCCUGACGGAGCAAUACCGCGUGAGGGAAGAAGGCUCUUGGGGUGUAAACCUCUUUUCUUAGGGAAGAACAAAAUGACGGUACCUAAGGAAUCAGCAUCGGCUAACUCCGUG
rnacentral:rRNA from 1 species